rnacentral:rRNA from 1 species
AUUGAACGCUGGCGGCAGGCCUAACACAUGCAAGUCGAGCGGAGCGGCGGACGGGUGAGUAAUGCCUAUGAAUCUGCCUGGUAGUUGGGGAUAACGUCCGGCAACGGGCGCUAAUACAUCCUACUUUCAGAUGAGCCUAGAUGGGAUUAGCUAGCUGGUGGGGUAAAGGCCUACCAAGGCGACGAUCCUUAACUGGUCUGAGAGGAUGAUCAGUCACACUGGAACUGAGACACGGUCCAGACUCCUACGGGAGGCAGCAGUGGGGAAUAUUGUACAAUGGGCGAAAGCCUGAUGCAGCCAUGCCGCGUGUGUGAAGAAGGUCUUCGGAUUGUAAAGCACUUUAAGUUGGGAGGCGUUACCAACAGAAUAAGCACCGGCUAACUUCGUGCCAGCAGCCGCGGUAAUUC